rnacentral:rRNA from 1 species
GAUCCUGGCUCAGAUUGAACGCUGGCGGCAUGCCUUACACAUGCAAGUCGAACGGCAGCAUGGGUGCUUGCACCUGAUGGCGAGUGGCGAACGGGUGAGUAAUGCAUCGGAACGUACCCGGAAGUGGGGGAUAACGUAGCGAAAGUUACGCUAAUACCGCAUAUUCUGUGAGCAGGAAAGAGGGGGAUCGCAAGACCUCUCGCUUUCGGAGCGGCCGAUGUCGGAUUAGCUAGUUGGCGGGGUAAAGGCCCACCAAGGCAACGAUCCGUAGCGGGUCUGAGAGGAUGACCAGCCACACUGGGACUGAGACACGGCCCAGACUCCUACGGGAGGCAGCAGUGGGGAAUAUUGCGCAAUGGGCGAAAGCCUGACGCAGCGACGCCGCGUGGGUGAUGAAGGCCUUCGGGUCGUAAAGCCCUGUCGCAGGGGAAGAAUAAGCAUCGGUAUAAUACGCCGGUGCCCUGACGGUACCCUGCAAGAAAGCACCGGCUAACUCCGUG